AAUCAACGCUGGCGGCGUGCCUCAGACAUGCAAGUCGAACGCGAAAGUCCCCUUCGGGGGACAAGUAGAGUGGCGCACGGGUGAGUAACACGUAGGUAAUCCACCUUCGGAUGGGGAAGUAACAACCGGAAACGGUUGCUAAUACCGCAUAAUGCAGCGGCACCUAAUGGUGACAGUUGUUAAAGCGGGGGAGUCGAAAGACCUCGCGUCUGAAGAGGAGCCUGCGGCGGAUUAGCAGUUGGUAAGGUAACGGCUUACCAAGGCGACGAUCCGUAGCCGGCCUGAGAGGGGCGGUCGGCCACACUGACACUGACAUACGGGUCAGACUCCUACGGGAGGCAGCAGUCGGGAA
rnacentral:rRNA from 1 species